rnacentral:rRNA from 1 species
UACGGAGGGUGCAAGCGUUAUCCGGAUUUACUGGGUUUAAAGGGUGCGUAGGUGGGUAAGUAAGUCAGUGGUGAAAUCUUCAAGCUUAACUUGGAAACUGCCAUUGAUACUAUUUACCUUGAAUACUUUGGAGGUAAGCGGAAUAUGUCAUGUAGCGGUGAAAUGCUUAGAUAUGACAUAGAACACCAAUUGCGAAGGCAGCUUACUACACAGUUAUUGACACUGAGGCACGAAAGCGUGGGGAUCAAACAGG